rnacentral:rRNA from 1 species
UACGAGGGGGGCUAGCGUUGCUCGGAAUUACUGGGCGUAAAGCGCACGUAGGCGGAUUGUUAAGUCGGGGGUGAAAUCCUGGAGCUCAACUCCAGAACUGCCUUCGAUACUGGCGAUCUAGAGUCCGGGAGAGGUGAGUGGAACUGCGAGUGUAGAGGUGAAAUUCGUAGAUAUUCGCAAGAACACCAGUGGCGAAGGCGGCUCACUGGCCCGGUACUGACGCUGAGGUGCGAAAGCUAGGGGAGCGAACAGG